rnacentral:tRNA from 1 species
GGAGCUGUAGCUCAAUUGGUUAGAGCGCUUCCCUGUCACGGAAGAGGUUGCGGGUUCGAGCCCCGUCAGUUCCG